GUCCCUGUAGCGCGAUGGAUAGCGCUUUGGACUUCUAAUUUAAACUCGUGGGCUCGAAUCCCACCUGUGAUG